rnacentral:lncRNA from 1 species
UGGGUCUGUAUAAUUAUGUAAGACUUAGGUUGAUAGGUAAUGUGGUCAAUUUGAUUGACAGUUUAGGAGGUGGGGCAUUGUAAUUAAAGGUCCACCUUGUCUCUGAUUGUUUAGUGGUAAUGACAGUUGUCAAUCAAACUAUUAUUGUAUCAAUACUCAAUUACUUAAUCAAACUAAUUAAUAAACAGUCUGCAAAUGAACACACCUUAAUGACAUACAUUCU